ensembl:lncRNA
AUGAGUUUGAGUGAAGUCCAGGAGUUGGUAAUGGACAGGGAGCUUUUCACUUAGCUGGGUUUAUGGCUUUAUAUAAACAUCCUCUGAAAUUAUGGCUUCUUUUUGUUGUUUUACAUGCUAUGUGCUUAGUCACUCAGUUGCGUCCGACUCUUUGCGACCCCAUGGACUGUAGCCUACCAGGCUCCUCCGUCCAUGGGAUUCUCCAGGCAGGAAUACUGGAGUGGGUUGCCGUGCCCCCCACUCCUUCAGGGAAUCUUCCCAACCCAGGGAUCCAACCCAGGUCUCCCGCAUUGCAGACAGAUUCUUUACCAUCUCAGCCACAAUUUCUGACGUGUCAAGGCAUACUUUGGAGACAUUGUGGGUUUGGUUCCAGGCUGCCACAAUAAAAUGAAUGCUGCAAUAACUCUUCCUGAAUCUAACUCCCACCCACUCCCUCCCCCACACCCUCUGGACUGUGGAAGUGGCAGGUACGUGCAGAGGCUCCAGAGUCAGACUGCCUGGAUCAGACCCUCGGUUCUGCCACUUGAAAGCUGAAAGCUUGAACUCCUUUCAGCAUAUCUUAUAGUACAAGUCUAAUGGUGAUGAACUCCCUCAGCUUCUGUUUGGGAAAGUCCAUCUCUCCGUUCCUGAAAGACAACCUUGCUAGGUAAAGUAUUCUUGGCAGAUUUUUUUUAGUUCUUGUACUUUUGAAUAUAUUAUCUUACUCUCCUCUGGCCUGCAAGUUUUCUGCUGAGAAAUCUUGGUCAUCGCCUUCUGCUGGUUCCCUUUAUGUGUGAGAUUUUUUUUU